CAGAGGUAGGGUUUGUUUUUCUAAUACUCGUUCUCACUUUAAGUCUCACCAGGGAGGGGUUUGGGAAGCACUGAAUGUUUGGGGUACGUUUCGCGCUUCCCGGUCUCUCCAGCCUACAUGUCGGGAGUCGGCGACCGCUUAGUGACGAGCGAGAAUUUUAAAGAGCAGAAUAAAGGGUUUCCCGUGCCUGCCCCACGGCCCCUCCAGCUUGAAUAAUGGAGAGACUGUCAAUGCACUUCGCGAGCGGUGGCCCAUUGUACGCAGCUGGUGGAGAGGAGGCGAGUGGGGUGGCAGGGGCUCCUUACCCUCGCCCCUCUGCCCAAAUAAUCGCACAGAUGCGCUCACAUCUUCUGGUCAGUUAAAAGGUGAAACGAACACAAUUAAAAUAGACCGAAAGAAAGAAAGAAAAGAAAAUCUUUCUAUAUACAGAUUCUAAAUUUUAUUUCCCAUACAGUCAGAGGCAGGGAGUUGAGGGGUAGAGGAAGCAGGCAGAGAGAGGGAAACAGGGAGAGAGAAGGAGAACUCGGAGAGAGAUGGAGGGAGUGGAGAGGAGGCGAGAGCGAACGCCAGGGAACCGGAGGGCCGCUGGACGCCAGGUCCGCCGGCUCAGUCGCCCUCGGACCCUGGACAGUGCGUCGUGGGCACCAGAAACGGGACUCGGCCAAAUCCUGCCCCAUCAGGCAAGUAA